UAAAAAUUUCCACCCCAAAAGCUUGUAUAUCUGCGUAAGGACUGUAAUUGAUAUUUUGAUAAACUGUUGAACAGGUUAUUUUAUAGUUGUGACUUACCCCUUCCCCCCCCGGAAGUGUACAAUGAACAUUCCAGUGAGUUUUUAUUAGAAUUGUUUUUGAUUUUAAUGCUCCAGUUUAAGUGAUAUAAAUGUAUUAGUUGUGAUCAUGACUAAGAAUAAAGAUACUUUCCAUUUAAAAAAAAA